rnacentral:rRNA from 1 species
GGGGAACACUUGGGAUCGUGCGGGUGAAAGGGGAGCGAGCAGGGGGGAGGGAGAGUUUAAGCAGACGCGGACCCGCGUUGGCUGCAGCGCGGCGGUAGAAACAGCACCAGCGGUGGGUGGCGCUCGAUGUUGCUCUUCUGGUCCUCUACCCGUGGUAGCAGGAGCUGUGGCCUCAUCCUGCUUGACCUGGCGCCUCGGGGGUUCGGCAGCGGGAGCUGGUUGAAGGGGCUCAGGCCGGUGGCGAUCGGCAAGGUUCCGAAGGUCCUCCUGGCGGCCCGAGUAGCGGCAGCGGAUGUCGUGGUCUAGCCGUAGCCCCUCGGGGACGUCGCGGUGGUAGCAGAACAAGGGGAGGCGGAGCCGGUGGCAGCUAGGGGCCGCUUGUGGUGACGGGGCCAGGAGGGGCGCAGGUGCGCUCGAACGGCAGCAGAGGGGGCUAUGGGGGCUCCGGCUACUACGGGGCCACUAGCUGAUGCAGCUGCUGUGAAGAAGGAAAAGUCGCCUCGAAGGUCUACAGCCUCGGGUCCUCGGUCUACGGUGGCGGCUACGUAUGAUGAUGCACCUCUGGCAGCUGCUGGUCCUCAUCAAUCCUCCGAGGGUCCGUCCUCCGGAACGGAAAAGCUAGCAACAACGAAAACACGAUCGGAAGAAUUCCGUUUGAACAGAUUGAGUACAGAUACGAGUCUAUAACAACGAAGGCGACUGAGAACACAUAAGUUCGACUACAUAAGCUCGGGAACUCCGGGGACCGAACAUUAUAUUUCGAACAUAAUAAAAUUAAACACAGAUCUCAACAGGAACUAGAACUAGCAUG